GAUGAACGCUGGCGGCGUGCCUAAUACAUGCAAGUCGAGCGAACAGAUGAGGAGCUUGCUCCUCUGACGUUAGCGGCGGACGGGUGAGUAACACGUGGAUAACCUACCUAUUAGACUGGGAUAACUUCGGGAAACCGGAGCUAAUACCGGAUAACAUUUUGAACCGCAUGGUUCAAUUGUGAAAGACGGUUUUGCUGUCACUUAUAGAUGGAUCCCGGCCGCCUUAGCAAGUUGGUAAGGUAACGGGUUACCAAGGCAACGAAGCGUGGCCAACCUGAGAGGGGGUACGGCCACACUGGAACGAGGACACGGUCCAAACUCCUACGGGGGGCAACGUAAGGGAAUCUGCCGCAAUGGGGGAAAGCCUAACGGGGCAACGCCGGUGUGUGGAUGAAGGUCUUCGGAUCGUAAAACUCUGUUAUUAGGGAAGAACAAAGGGGUAAGGAAAUAUUCACAGCUUGACGGUACCUAAUCAGAAAGCCACGGCUAACUACGUG
rnacentral:rRNA from 1 species